rnacentral:misc_RNA from 1 species
GUUUCUUGUGUUUGUUAAAAAACAAAGGGGCAUAAAUGUAGAAAUAUGUAAACAUCUCAUUAUUAAGGCAAGUCAAAUACAAAAGUAGGUGAAAGGAUCUUAAAAGCGAAUUUUGACUCUAUUUAUUUUUAUCGUUUUUAACUAUUUCAAAAGUCAUUUUUUUUUUGAAUUUUGAUCUUCUAAAAUGUAUAAGAAAAUGAUUAAAA